rnacentral:tRNA from 1 species
GGGCACUUGGUGUAGAUGGUUAUCACGCUCGCUUAGCAUGUUAUGUUUGCGAGAGGGGACCGGUUCAAUUCCGGUAGUGUCCA